AAAAUUGGAGUAGGAGGAAAAUCCGUUGGUUUUAUAGAUCGUGAGGGUUCGAGUCCCUCUAUCCCCA
rnacentral:tRNA from 1 species